ACCUGAUUGGUUGCACCAUAGGUCUAACUCUUGGAACCCACCUGCAUCAUUCCUCCUGAAGUUGAACACUACUGUUUAAUUGGAUUGACCUAUUCUCUAAACUGAGAGACUGGUUCAAUGAGAUGGAGAAAUCUCCCAACUCAACUUCUGGAAUGUGAAACUUCACAUGAACUUUCAAAGGCAGAACUGAAGAGAUUCAAAACAGGAUACCCCAAGAUGGGCCACUUUGACAUGUGCUUAACCUUGCAUAUGCACAUAAACAAACAACCUGAUACCUUUUUCAGGAAACAUGCCUCUUAACUAGAUUUUCCUUUCAAUUUAAAGAGAAAGGAGAGGGAUCAAAGAAGAGCCCUAGAAUGUAAAACUAGUGACCCUUCAAAGAUCAAAUAAGUCCAGGUCCAUCUUUCACAGAUUAGUGUUUCUAGACAGCUGAGAGAAUAGCCAAGGACAAGCAACCAUUUGAUGAGAAAGCAGAGUUUGGUGGAAGAGAGAGGAAUGGCUCCAAUCUGGAAAGAGCCAACAGUCAUUAGAGUCUUAUAGGUCACCUUUGUGAGGACAAGGAAGAAGGCUUCACAGAAGUCUGGCAUUCUUCUGAAGAGGUUCAGGAGAGAAGGGAAUCCUCAGUGAAAGCAAAGGAAUUAGAGAGCUGCAUGACUCUACCAAUUUUAACCCUGGGAUCCGUAUUCUCUAAAGGGACUUUAUGUCUCACUACGCUGUAGGAACAUUCUAAGAAUAUUGUGAAAAACCUCAGCUAUUAUAUUUUAAGCCAUUUCUCUCAUCUAUCACCCUUUGAAUUACUCAUCAGAGGAUGAUUUUCCUUAGUUUCUUAUGGCAGGAUAAAGGACAACCUGCAAACAGAUAAAAAUGUUCAUAUAUGUUUCCAUUCCUACUUAGAGAAUCGUUGUGGCCAGUAAGGCAUAACACUUCUUUAUUGAAAUAUGCCUAAAGAAAACACUUUAAAUCCAUAUUUUUCAAGGUCCCUUGCUCAUGAGUGUGUGCCAGGUGACUAUAAGCAAAUAAAGUGUGAUCAACACAGUGCAUUGUAUGCUUAUGGACUUAAUAAAUAUGCUACUAAUGGUAACAGUGCACAGACUCCCUUGUGGCCAUGAGGCAGGGUGAAGAGAGAGGAGAACUAUCAGGACAGUUACAUCUGGAACAAAGCAGAGGUCAAAAUGCACACAGCAAAUAGAGAUGGAAGAUGCUGGCAGAAUGACAGCUAUGUUGUUCUGGAUUCUCCAAGAAGCAAAUGCUGAGUAGGAUUAAAUGUGAAAGGACUUUAUUAGGGGAAAUAUUUGUGUGAAAGGAAAUAGAAGGGUACUUAAGAAGGAUGGAAGAGCCUUCAGGCCAUGAAGUAAUCUGAUCUUGAGUAAAGAAGAGAGGGAGAGAAGGUUGGUGGAAGCGUCCAAGACUGCCUGCCAUGAAGUCUAAAUUCGUCAAAACCAUCAUGCAGUCAGAGAGCCAAAGUCAGCCAACAAGGAGUCUUGUAUCUCCCAGCAAUGGGUCUGCCUCACCAGCCCCAUUGUGCUCAGCUAUUGGCAGGGAGCAGUCCAUGGGGGGUGUGGCCUCAGAGAUGGAUUUUAAAGCAUAGCAGCUGGGGCUGUCAGUCAAUUAGGCUUCAUGUACAGGAAGGUCUGCAAGGCAAAUUUUCAUGCCCAGCAAAGCAGCCAAAUCCAGAAUAGAUGUAAG
rnacentral:lncRNA from 1 species